rnacentral:lncRNA from 1 species
UUAAUUUUGUCUCAUUAUAUUUUAUAAUUAUAGGAAAGCAAUCAUGGCCUGAACUUGUGGGAAAGCCAGCGGCGACUGCUAAGAAAAUAAUUGAGAAAGAAAAUCCCAUAGCCAAAGUUCAGUUUUUGUUCCCUGGUAUGGUUAAACCAUUGAAUUAUGUUUGUGGUCGAGUUUUUGUGGUUGUUAACUGGAAACUCAUUGUUCAAAUUACUCCCACAAUGGGUUAAUUAAAUAGUUCUAUUAUGGAAGAUUUAGAAUAACAAGACCCAAGAAUUAAGAAAUAGAGUACUGGUGUUCCAUAGUGUACUCUUCAUGUACUCUACUAUUUCGAUAUAAUAAAUAAACUAAGUGUGGGUUAUUUAAUUUGUAUUAUGCAUGUAUUAUAAUUAUCUUGCCUCAUUCUCUUUUAUGUUGUAACUUUUCCAGUUUUGCUUUUCUUUUUCGUUUGUUAUGCAAUUUGACGUACACAGAGGCGUAGCUCCGCCUGGUAGAAUGUUGAAGACGUUAUUGUUUUAAUAUAUCUGGCUUAAAAAUUUAAAUUCUUAAAUGAGAUGAUCAUAUAAUUCAAUAAUAUUGUAUAUUAUAGGCAGAGUCCAGAGGUCGAGUCUCUACCUACUACUAUUCAUCCAUGAAAAUAUGGUAACAUAUUUGACUUUAAAAAAAAAAAAGAUCCAUGAUGCACUUGAGGAAGCGCAUAGAAGACAUAAUUAAUAUGCAAACAAAAAUGCCUCAAUUUUUAUGUACAUCUUAAAUAUUUAGAUGAGAUUGUUACAUAAUAUAACAUGAUAUCAGUUCGAAUU